GGAGCUGAUGACUGUACAUUUUUGAUUGAAGUUCUGAAAAUACCUUUAGUGGUAUGACAUUUCUCACGCCUGCCUGUGUCUGUGGAUUACUCUCUCUUUCUCCUAAAGUCGAGCUUCUCUCUCACCGUGUUCAGUCUCUGCCGUCGAUCGCUUCUCUCAUUCUUCCCGUUAGCUCUCGCCUCAUCAGUGAUCGGCUUUCAUUUCUAUCUUUCCUCUUCCAUCGUGGUCUGCCUCAAACUCGCCGUGAAAGGAGUGGUUUGAAAUGUCGAUGGAUCUUCACCGUUCAAGCUCAACAAAAAAGGGAUUUGAAGAUCUGUCAUGGGAUGAGCUAAUGGGCUGUACAGUCGACGAUUCUCUUGAUGGGGAAGAAGAUAUACCCCGAGUCAACUUCUCUGGAGAGGUGACGUCUCUGAAUCGGAAGAUUUCGUGGGCACCUGGUCCGAAGGAUUCUUCGCUUGGGUCUUCCAAUUUUUUCGACGUUGUGGUGGUGCAGCAAAAGCAAGUCCAGUCAUUUGAUUUGAACGAAGAGGCAACGAAGGACAGUGAAGAAGUGAGCAGUGGCAACGGCAACGGCAUAUCUGACCGGGGAAGAGAAGGAAAAAAGAGGAAGAUUGUCCACCCAUUCGAUCUGAAUAAAUUUCCAUUUCCAAAUGAAAAUUAUGUGCAUCUGACCGAGGAAGAGAAAGCUCAAAAAAUGAGAAUUUAUACAAGUUGCUGUGGGUGAGCUUUUAAAACUGUGAGGAUACCAUUAAACACAAAAGUUUCUGUAGGUGAGUUUUUAAGACUGUCAGGAUACUAGUUGAGCACAAACUAAGGUAUAAAUUUUCUUUUUGAAUUGCUGCAUAGAAAUGGAAAAGAUUGAUGCUGUUGCUUACCUUGAAAAAGGAAAUUUAUAGUCCCUAGGCGCAAUUGUUAAAUUUCAUAUUUUUUUCAUUUCAUAAACCAUUUCGUUCAUUCUUAAUUUUUUUCUCAAUUCGAACACUGUCGUCUAAAAAGAAAGUUCAAGCACCAUCAACUCCCACCUUUGAGGCAUCACUACUCACGCCCAUUUUUUGCUGCAAAAGUUAUCGUCGUUGCCAUUGACAUUAAUAUCAGAGCCACCAUUGCAUAUCACAAACCCCAACUCAUAGCAUCCCUUUCUUAUUUGGGGGCUUUUACUCUCUCGUCCCUUAUCAUCAUUGUUGUCGCCGGUGAAGUUAUCUCAACAGAGAUGAGGCAAGGGUGAGGUUUUGAUUUCUUCAUGUACAUUUUUUAUCUUGGUCAUUGAUUUAUUUUUUCCUGAUUUUCAAUCUGAAACACGAUGAAUGGCACUAGUGUGAGACAUUUCUUCAUUAUUAGUUGAUUCUUUUUCAAUAGCUGUGAUAUCUGUGGAAUGAGCAGCAUGCCUAAUUUGAGGUAAAUAUUGGAUAACUCUAUUAUGUCAUUUUUCUUUAUUUGUGAUGUUUAGAUGUAAGCUUUAUGUGCAUAUGUUUCACGGCAAGACUUUGUUUUUGUGCUUGUGACAAUUUUUUUUACUUUCUUUAUCUCAACUCAAUUUUUCCUGAAGAAUAUACACUCUCAGAUAAGAAUGGCUGCUUUUGUUUUAUUUGGUAAUCCAAAAGUGCUAGACUCUCGCCCUAAUAUAUUUUAAGAGCUCACGAGAGUUCUCAUAUCUAGAAGCUUGUAUCUAUGAGCAAGGAAAUUUACCCUCACAUUUAUUUUGAAAAAUAUGUUCAUGUUGGCUUUGGCAGUUAAAGGUUCAAUACUUCCAUGACCAUACUACUGUAACAAUAGUCAUUGCAUUGAAAUAGUCACCUAUUAUUGAUUCUUCUGCCACCAUUGGUACUCCAACCAUUGUGUGUGGCGCUGAAGUAGGCUAUGAUACUGCAUCUGGUGCUUUUAACAAAGACAUUGAUGGGAUUGGUGUGACUAAGCCUGAUUCAUAUGCUUCAAAAAUCCUUAUAAAAUGAAGAUGGUGGGUGGGGAGAGAGCUAUCUUUCAUGUGCUAGAAAGGUGGACAUUCUCACACAUGGGAGGAGCAUUUAAGUCUAAAGAAAUGGUGUUGUUGUCCCCACUAUCUUCCUUAUUGGCUGGAGCAUUUAAAUCAAAGGAGAAGGAGCACUUUUCCAUAGUGGAAAAGUGCAGUUUUUGUGCCUUUCUUUUAUGUUGUUUUCAAUGCUGUCUGAUUCCCUUUUAAUAGGAUAUAAGUUUCUUAAAAUGUGAAACACUGCCUCUAAUUUUUCAUUCCCAGGUGAAGGCUCAAUUUUUCACUGUAAAUGCCUCAUUUUCACUAUAAAAGGCUCUAUUCCCACUAGAAGACUCAUAUUGUCAUUGUAAAAGUCUUGUACUAUCACUGUAAAAGUCUCAUACUUGAUAAAGCAUGAGAGAGAAAUUCUGAAAAUAAUAAUUUAUUCAUUGAUUGUA